CGAGGACUCUAACGAGACUGCCGGUGUCAAACCGGAGGAAGGUGGGGAUGACGUCAAGUCCUCAUGGCCCUUACGGGUUGGGCUACACACGUGCUACAAUGGCGGUGACAGUGGGACAAUCCCCAAAAACCGUCUCAGUUCGGAUUGUUCUCUGCAACUCGAGAGCAUGAAGGUGGAAUCGCUAGUAAUCGCAGAACAGCAUGCUGCGGUGAAUACGUUCCCGGGCCUUGUACACACCGCCCGUCACACCAUGGGAGUUGGUUUUACCCGAAGCCGGUGCGCUAACCUUUUAGGAGGCAGCC
rnacentral:rRNA from 1 species